UACGUAGGGUGCGAGCGUUGCCCGGAUUUAUUGGGCGUAAAGGGCGCGUAGGCGGCCACGCACGUCCGUUGUGAAAUCGCCCGGCUCAACUGGGCGGGGUCAGCGGAUACGGUGUGGCUCGAGCAAGCUAGGGGGCAAUGGAAUUCCCGGUGUAGUGGUGGAAUGCGUAGAUAUCGGGAGGAACACCAGUGGCGAAGGCGGUUGCCUGGAGCUUUGCUGACGCUGAUGCGCGAAAGCGUGGGGAGCG
rnacentral:rRNA from 1 species